rnacentral:tRNA from 1 species
GCCCCGGUAGCUCAGUCGGAUAGAGCAACGGCCUUCUAAGCCGUGGGUCAGGGGUUCGAAUCCUCUCCGGGGCG